GACGAACGCUGGCGGCGUGCCUAAUACAUGCAAGUCGAACGAGAGCGACCGGUGCUUGCACUGGUCAAUCUAGUGGCGAACGGGUGAGUAACACGUGGGUAACCUGCCCAUCAGAGGGGGAUAACAUCCGGAAACGGAUGCUAAAACCGCAUAGGUCUUCGAGCCGCAUGGCUUGAAGAGGAAAAGAGGCGCAAGCUUCUGCUGAUGGAUGGACCCGCGGUGCAUUAGCUAGUUGGUGAGGUAACGGCUCACCAAGGCCGUGAUGCAUAGCCGACCUGAGAGGGUGAUCGGCCACAUUGGGACUGAGACACGGCCCAAACUCCUACGGGAGGCAGCAGUCGGGAAUCUUCCGCAAUGGACGCAAGUCUGACGGAGCAACGCCGCGUGAGUGAAGAAGGUUUUCGGACCGUAAAACUCUGUUGUUAGAGAAGAACAAGUGCUAGAGUAACUGUUAGCGCCUUGACGGUAUCUAACCAGAAAGCCACGGCUAACUACGUG
rnacentral:rRNA from 1 species